AGAGUUUGAUCAUGGCUCAGGAUGAACGCUGGCGGCGUGCUUAACACAUGCAAGUCGAACGGGAAUGCUUCGCUGAUGCGAUUUCGGUCAAAUCUUGAAGCAUUUUAGUGGCGGACGGGUGAGUAACGCGUGGGUAACCUGCCCUGUACAGGGGGACAACAGUUGGAAACGACUGCUAAUACCGCAUAAGCGCACAGCUUCGCAUGAAGCAGUGUGAAAAACUCCGGUGGUACAGGAUGGACCCGCGUUUGAUUAGAUAGUUGGUGAGGUAACGGCCCACCAAGUCAACGAUCAGUAGCCGGCCUGAGAGGGCGAACGGCCACAUUGGGACUGAGACACGGCCCAAACUCCUACGGGAGGCAGCAGUGGGGAAUAUUGCACAAUGGGGGAAACCCUGAUGCAGCGACGCCGCGUGAGUGAAGAAGUAUUUCGGUAUGUAAAGCUCUAUCAGCAGGGAAGAAAACAAUGACGGUACCUGACUAAGAAGCCCCGGCUAACUACGUGCCAGCAGCCGCGGUAAUACGUAGGGGGCAAGCGUUAUCCGGAUUUACUGGGUGUAAAGGGAGCGUAGACGGUAGACCAAGUCUGAAGUGAAAGCCCGGGGCUCAACCCCGGAACUGCUUUGGAAACUGGUAAACUAGAGUGCAGGAGAGGUAAGUGGAAUUCCUAGUGUAGCGGUGAAAUGCGCAGAUAUUAGGAGGAACACCAGUGGCGAAGGCGGCUUACUGGACUGUAACUGACGUUGAGGCUCGAAAGCGUGGGGGGCAAACAGGAUUAGAUACCCUGGUAGUCCACGCCGUAAACGAUGAUUACUAGGUGUCGGGGAGUUAAACUCUUCGGUGCCCCAGCAAACGCAAUAAGUAAUCCACCUGGGGAGUACGUUCGCAAGAAUGAAACUCAAAGGAAUUGACGGGGACCCGCACAAGCGGUGGAGCAUGUGGUUUAAUUCGAAGCAACGCGAAGAACCUUACCAAAUCUUGACAUCCCUUGACGAUGCUGGAAACAGUAUUUCUCUUCGGAGCAAGGAGACAGGUGGUGCAUGGUUGUCGUCAGCUCGUGUCGUGAGAUGUUGGGUUAAGUCCCGCAACGAGCGCAACCCUUAUGGUCAGUUACUACGCAAGAGGACUCUGGCCAGACUGCCGUUGACAAAACGGAGGAAGGUGGGGAUGACGUCAAAUCAUCAUGCCCUUUAUGACUUGGGCUACACACGUACUACAAUGGCGUUAAACAAAGAGAAGCAAGACCGCGAGGUGGAGCAAAACUCAGAAACAACGUCCCAGUUCGGACUGCAGGCUGCAACUCGCCUGCACGAAGUCGGAAUUGCUAGUAAUCGUGGAUCAGCGUGCCACGGUGAAUACGUUCCCGGGCCUUGUACACACCGCCCGUCACACCAUGAGAGCCGGGGGGACCCGAAGUCGGUAGUCUAACCGCAAGGAGGACGCCGCCGAAGGUAAAACUGGUGAUUGGGGUGAAGUCGUAACAAGGUA
rnacentral:rRNA from 1 species